CAAACACUCUAACUGACAAAAAUAAGACGAUAAAGAGAGAAAUAUGGAGAGAGAGAGAGAGAGAUGGCGAUAGAGAGAGCCAGGAAGAAGGAAAGAGAGAAGAAGAUUACAUUGAGUGAAGAAAGCACGCCAUCUUCCCCUAAUCGCUCUAAGUAUGUAAGGGUUUAUAUGUUUAAUUGGCAGGGUAUAUGUGUUUAAUUGAGUUUGUAAAUGUUUUUAAUUGAUUUUUUUGUUGUUAAUUUGGUCUUACACUUGUUAAAUCAAGGAUUUAUGUUCUUAAUUAGGUAUUAUAUUUGUUUAACUUAGGGUUCAUAGUUUAUUUUAUGGGUUCUGUUCAUUUGUUAAUUUAGGGAUUUAAUUAAGGGUUCUUGUGUUUAAGCUCUAUUUAUCAUGUUUUUGUACUGUACUAGAAAAUAGAAAAUUAAUUAACUUGGUAACCAGAUGAGAAUUAGAAAUAGGGUAUCCCAAUAAAUGCUUGUCCAUAAUUGGACAUUACAUGUCCAGAGUCGAGUAUUUGUCUGGCUGUCUCAUGUAAUAUAUAUGUUAGUUGUUGAACUUUGAUCCUUAAUCACUGAUAUUGGAUUAUAGUCUGCUUAAAUGGGGACUUCCGGCACAUUCUUGUUUAUAAAUAUGGAGGGAAUGAGUAGAUAUAAUUAUGAUUGGCAGCUGGGAUAAAAUGAUGUUUAUUCUUGUUGAAAAUGUCAAGGCUAAAAGAUUGAUUGGUGGGUACUUUUAAUUUUAAGUCUUUUACCAUAUGUUUUUCUCCCAGGUUGCAAACUUUUUAAAGCCUAUCAAGUUAAUUCCUAAUAUUGUUGAGCUAGAUAGUUUAAAGGUCUCUGGUGACGUAUGGUUUGGACCUGGGAUCAUUCUUAAGGUAUCGAAAAUAAUAUCUUCACAUAGGUGAAGUGGCUUUUAGGCUCUUCUGGUAGAUAUGAAUUAAUGAAGUGUAAAGAUAUGUUUACUAUAUUUGUAAACAUAUUUUUGUUUCCAGGAUUGGGUAAUGCCAAAAUUCUCACUCUCAACUUAGACACUGUUAAGGUACGUUCAUGAUUUAUUUUUGCAAGUAUUUAAUCAUCAUGUCCUUAAUUUAUCUUUAGGACCAAUAAUUUUAUUUGAUAUUUGGCAAUUGAAUUAGUUCCAUUUGUUGAUUCCUAUGUUCUGAUAAAUUUUAAUUGUUAUUUCCUAGGCACUUAUUGCAGUCUCUGACUUUCUGGCACGUUUUCCAUCUCUAUUUUAUAACUUAAAGUAUGUGAAGCUACCAAAAGGAUAUCAACAAUCAAGUCUAUCUGGUACAUUGAAAGGUUACAUGCUUGGUGGUUCUCCAGAAGCCAGCAUUUUAACAGCAAACACAGGGAACUGUACCACUUUGUAAAUCAUGCCAACUCAGAAUGCUUUGCUUUCGGAGCCUGUUGCCAGAGCAGGAAAUGAUCAACCAAGCUCUUCACGGGAAACCAUUGGUUUUAGGCUUUGGAAGGGUCAUGAGGUUAAGUCAGAAUUUGUAAGCUUACUUGAGCGGAUUACAAAAAAGCACCCACUCUGAAGCACAUCACUUCCAAAGUCGAUAUUAUUCAGGCUAUGAUGUUGAAUGUGUUUUGCACAACAGUGUCUUUGUAUAUGAACACGGCAAUAACUGAUGUCAAUGCAGACAUGAUCACAGAGUACAAGGCAUUAUUUUAUGACUUGUAGAGACGGGGAUUUGAUAUAAGUUGGCUGGUCACACGUCUGAACUGUGUGGAAGAACUCCCAUAUUCAAAACCCUUAAUUAAAAAUAUUUUAGGAACAAUAUACUGCACUUACAAAUAAUUCGCACAAUGGUACAUAGGAUUAAUCUGUUGUCCAUAGGAUAUUAAAGGAAUUAAAGGUCUCUAAGAAAGCUUCUGAUAUGGAGGAUAAACUUAACAAAAAUUGAAGACAAUCCUUGGACAUAUAUAGACUGAGAAGAAUCUCUGACUAUAUAUUAAUGUCGAAGAACUAUGUGCUGGUGGUCAUAAUUAACAAGAGUCAAAUGCCGAUAGCAAUGCAGCUGAUUAUCCAUGAUAAAUAGUAUUAUGUUCUAGACUUGGCCCAUGUUGAUGGCAAAAAUUGAUGUACUUAACGUAUUUGAUGUCUAGGAAUGAUUAUACUUGUGAUUGGUAAUAGUCUUAGUACUGUUUUGAUAUUUGUUGGUGUUGAACCUUAAAUGGUGGAUUAAUAUAUUUUCGAAAUGG